rnacentral:rRNA from 1 species
UUCCACAAUGGGCGCAAGCCUGAUGGAGCAACACCGCGUGAGUGAAGAAGGGUUUCGGCUCGUAAAGCUCUGUUGUUAAAGAAGAACACGUAUGAGAGUAACUGUUCAUACGUUGACGGUAUUUAACCAGAAAGUCACGGCUAACUACGUGCCAGCAGCCGCGGUAAUACGUAGGUGGCAAGCGUUAUCCGGAUUUAUUGGGCGUAAAGAGAGUGCAGGCGGUUUUCUAAGUCUGAUGUGAAAGCCUUCGGCUUAACCGGAGAAGUGCAU